CACGUAGUUAGCCGUGGCUUUCUGGUUAGAUACCGUCACACGCAUAGCAGUUACUCUAUGCGCUGUUCUUCUCUAACAACAGAGCUUUACGAUCCGAAGACCUUCUUCACUCACGCGGCGUUGCUCCGUCAGACUUGCGUCCAUUGCGGAAGAUUCCCUACUGCUGCCUCCCGUAGGAGUUUGGGCCGUGUCUCAGUCCCAAUGUGGCCGAUCACCCUCUCAGGUCGGCUAUGCAUCAUCGCCUUGGUAGGCCGUUACCCUACCAACUAGCUAAUGCACCGCGGGUCCAUCUCUUAGCGAUAGCUUGCGCCACCUUUCCUCACAGAAUCAUGUGAUUCUAUGUCCUAUGCGGUAUUAGCAGUCGUUUCCGACUGUUAUCCCCCACUAUGAGGUAGGUUACCCAGUGUUACUCACCCGUUCGCCACUCACCUUGACCAAGUGCAGGCACUCAGUCGCGGUUCGUCGACUUGCA
rnacentral:rRNA from 1 species